rnacentral:rRNA from 1 species
AGUGAACGCUGGCGGUAGGCCUAACACAUGCAAGUCGAACGGCAGCACAGGAGAGCUUGCUCUCUGGGUGGCGAGUGGCGGACGGGUGAGGAAUACAUCGGAAUCUGCCCAGUCGUGGGGGAUAACGUAGGGAAACUCACGCUAAUACCGCAUACGACCUUCGGGUGAAAGAGGGGGAUCGCAAGACCUCUCGCGAUUGGAUGAGCCGAUGUCGGAUUAGCUAGUUGGCGGGGUAAUGGCCCACCAAGGCGACGAUCCGUAGCUGGUCUGAGAGGAUGAUCAGCCACACUGGAACUGAGACACGGUCCAGACUCCUACGGGAGGCAGCAGUGGGGAAUAUUGGACAAUGGGCGCAAGCCUGAUCCAGCCAUACCGCGUGGGUGAAGAAGGCCUUCGGGUUGUAAAGCCCUUUUGUUGGGAAAGAAAUCUUUCAGGCUAAUACCCUGGGAGGAUGACGGUACCCAAAGAAUAAGCACCGGCUAACUUCGUG